rnacentral:rRNA from 1 species
GCAUGAGACUACAGAGCUGCAUGGCUCAGUGGUCAAAGGAGCAAUCCGCUGAAAGAUGGACUCGCGUCCGAUUAGAUAGUAGGCGGGGUAACGGCCCACCUAGUCGACGAUCGGUAGCCGGACUGAGAGGUUGAACGGCCACAUUGGGACUGAGACACGGCCCAGACUCCUACGGGAGGCAGCAUG